UGACUCUGAGCUGCAGAAACAAGACGACUUCCUCCAACCUCACAGCUGGUUUCUAUAAAGAUGGCCUCCUCAUGGGCAGCAGCUCUACAGGAGAGAUGAUCAUCCACAGUGUUUCCAAGUCUGAUGAAGGACUCUACAAGUGUAAGAUCUCUGGAGCUGGAGAAUCAGCAGAGAGCUGGUUGGCUGUCAGAGCUCUUCACACAGAGACUUGUCCCUCCUCAGAUCACUCCUUUAAUGUUCUCCUCCUCUUAAGGACUGUGUUCACCAUUGUGAUGGUGGCUCUGCUGCUGCUGCUGGUGGGACUACUUCACUGUGGGAAACUCACAGUUACACAGAAAACUCAUGCUCAUAUAUAAAGUAUAUAUAUAUAUAAACUAAUACAGAGUAUCUUUGUCACUCUCACCCACAGAGGUACUGACUGAUGUAUGAAGUAUUUAUAAAAGGCGAGCUGAUGGUU